rnacentral:tRNA from 1 species
GCCCCCGUAGUUCAACGGAUAGAACACCGGUUUGCGGAACCGGCAAUGCCAGUUCGAUUCUGGCCGAGGGCA